UGUGUCCCUCUGUGUCCCUAUGUGUCCCCAUGUGUCCCUCUGUGUCCCCAUGUGUCCCCACGUGUCCCUCUGUGUCCCUAUGGUCCCUCUGUGUCCCCAUGUGUCCCCACGUGUCCCCACGUGUCCCCAUGGUCCCUCUGUGUCCCUAUGGUCCCCAUGUGUCCCCAUGUGUCCUUCUGUGUCCCUCUGUGUCCCCAUGUGUCCCUCUGUGUCCCUCUGUGUCCCCACGUGUCCCCGCUGUCCCCACGCUGUGCCGCGCAGGCGCGGCGCUGGCUGCGUUUCGGCCCGUUGGAGGCGGAGGCCGUUUGCGUGGGCUGCGCGCGGGGCUCCGUGGGGCGGCGCUGCCAGAGCUGCAGGGACGGCUUCUUCCUCCUGCACGGCCGCUGCGUGCGGUGAGCGCCCCACGGCCGCCCCAUGGCUGCCCCAUAGCUGCCCCAUAACUACCCCAUAACUACCCUAUAACUGCCCCAUAGCUGCCCCAUACCUGCCCCAUAGCCGCACCAUCGCUGCCCCAUGGCUGCCCCAUAGCCGCCCCAUAGCCGCCCCAUAGCCGCCCCAUAGCUGCCCCAUAGCCGCCCCAUAACUACCCUAUAACUGCCCCACAGCUGCCCCAUAGCCGCCCCAUAGCUGCCCUAUAACUACCCUAUAACUGCCCUAUAACUGCCCCAUAGCCAC
rnacentral:lncRNA from 1 species